AUGCAGUUUCUAGAACAUUCUUGUACUUUCCAACCCCUGCCCUUUGUCUUUUCUAUUGGUUUUUCCCAUGAAUCCUCCCCUUUUUUUCCAGGUGACCCUUGGGGCACCAAGGCCUCUCAAGACAUGAGUCCCGUGUCGCCCCAGUGGUGGUGUUUCCUCACCCUCUCUGCAGCCCUCCGUCUGCACCCUGAGAGCAGGUCCACACGUCCCACUGCACAGAGGAGGCUGCUGUCGCCGUCACAGAUGAGGCUCAGAGAGGGUGUCUCAUGUCCACGGUGGCUCAGUGUGGAGCAGGAACCCCUGCAGGGCCAUCUCUCUGUCACCUUGAGAAAGGAUGCCUGCCUCAGGGCACAGGGGAUAUUAUGUCACCUGGGCCCGUUUCAGUUCUUACUGAGGGUCUCAGAAAGAAUCCAGCCAUCAAGAGGUGACUGGGGCAGGCCUUUUGGAUGGGGCGUCCUGGCAUGUGCGUGUUUUGGAGCAAGUCCUCGGGCUCAUUCAUUCAAUCGUUCUGUGCAUCAGGACAAAAGGGAGCGUGCACUGCGUACACACACCCCGCGAAGGCCCAGAGCUUCGGGUGCCCAUAGAUGA
rnacentral:lncRNA from 1 species